rnacentral:rRNA from 1 species
GAUGAUCAGGAGCUUGCUCCUGUGAUUAGUGGCGAACGGGUGAGUAACACGUGAGUAACCUGCCCCUGACUCUGGGAUAAGCGUUAGGAAACGACGUCUAAUACUGGAUAUGACUACCGGUCGCAUGGCCUGGUGGUGGAAAGAUUUUUUGGUUGGGGAUGGACUCGCGGCCUAUCAGCUUGUUGGUGAGGUAAUGGCUCACCAAGGCGACGACGGGUAGCCGGCCUGAGAGGGUGACCGGCCACACUGGGACUGAGACACGGCCCAGACUCCUACGGGAGGCAGCAGUGGGGAAUAUUGCACAAUGGGCGAAAGCCUGAUGCAGCAACGCCGCGUGAGGGAUGACGGCCUUCGGGUUGUAAACCUCUUUUAGUAGGGAAGAAGCGAAAGUGACGGUACCUGCAGAAAAAGCACCGGCUAACUACGUGCCAGCAGCCGCGGUAAUACGUAGGGUGCAAGCGUUGUCCGGAAUUAUUGGGCGUAAAGAGCUCGUAGGCGGUUUGUCGCGUCUGCUGUGAAAUUCCGAGGCUCAACCUCGGGCUUGCAGUGGGUACGGGCAGACUAGAGUGCGGUAGGGGAGAUUGGAAUUCCUGGUGUAGCGGUGGAAUGCGCAGAUAUCAGGAGGAACACCGAUGGCGAAGGCAGAUCUCUGGGCCGUAACUGACGCUGAGGAGCGAAAGCAUGGGGAGCGAACAGGAUUAGAUACCCUGGUAGUCCAUGCCGUAAACGUUGGGCGCUAGAUGUAGGGACCUUUCCACGGUUUCUGUGUCGUAGCUAACGCAUUAAGCGCCCCGCCUGGGGAGUACGGCCGCAAGGCUAAAACUCAAAGGAAUUGACGGGGGCCCGCACAAGCGGCGGAGCAUGCGGAUUAAUUCGAUGCAACGCGAAGAACCUUACCAAGGCUUGACAUACACCGGAAACGGCCAGAGAUGGUCGCCCCCC